CCACGGAGUCUAACGCCUAAGCAAGUCGUCAAGCUGAAGGCUGACUGCGCGAAAUGAAAGUGAAGCUCUCUAGGGGAGAUCCGGGCACCUUCGGGUGGUCGGCGCAUCCUCGGCACGCCUUGCUGCUGCUUCGGCACACGUGGCGUAGCAUGAGCUUAGUCGUUGGGACCCGAAAGAUGGUGAACUAUGCUUGAGUAGGCCGAAGUCAGGGGAAACUCUGAUGGAAGGCCGUCGCGAUUCUGACGUGCAAAUCGAUCGUCAAACUUGAGUAUAGGGGCGAAAGACUAAUCGAACCAUCUA
rnacentral:rRNA from 1 species